rnacentral:misc_RNA from 1 species
GAUGAAGAACGUAGCGAAAUGCGAUAAGUAAUGCGAAUUGCAGAAUUCAGCGAGUCAUCGAAUCUUUGAACGCAUAUUGCGCCCCUUGGUAUUCCGAGGGGCAUGCCUGUUCGAGCGUCAUUAUAACCCCUCAAGCUCAGCUUGGUGUUGGGGCCUGCUGCACUGGCAGCCCUUAAAAUCAGUGGCGGCGCCAUCUGGCUCUAAGCGUAGUAAUUCUUCUCGCUAUGGAGUCCUGGUGGAUGCUUGCCAUCAACCCCCAAUUUUUCUAUGGUUGACCUCGGAUCAGGUAGGGAUACCCGCUGAACUUAAGCAUAUCAUAAGCGGAGGA